UGGGAUCCGACACAGCCUGCACCAGCUCCGAGAGUCUUUCCACAUUCUGCUGUCUCAGGGCAAAGGCCCCCUCGAUUUCUCACCAGGCUUGGAGUCCCAUUCUGCCCUUCCGCAGGUCUGCUGUCAUGUGACGGAUCACAUGAGCUCUAUAUUCCAUCACCACUACCCCUCUGCCUAGUAACUAGUGACGGUACUGGCUCCUCCCUUGCAUGGGUGGUCCCGAAUGCUAGGCAAGGGUGGGGCCGCCACUCGGAUUCUCCCCUCUGGCCAGUCAAGCACUGAGUAAGCCCAGGGCUCCCCACCUGCGUCCUGAGCCUGGUCCCCUGGGAAUCACCACAAGUGAGUAGGCUGUAGAGACCCACAGACUGGGGUU
rnacentral:lncRNA from 1 species